UAAUAUUAUUAUUGUAUUCAGAGUGAUUUGACUUCAAGACCAGUUGCCAAGGAAACCAUUGACAAGGUCUGUAGAGAAUAUUCAUUCUUAGGAUGGACAGAGAUGUCAGUAAAGGAUGAUAAUAACGUCUCGGAAACUAUGGACUACCUUAUCAAUGAACUUUUGCAAAACUAUGAAGCCCAGUCUGAGGACAUGAUGGAUCAUACAGAUGCUGGUCAAGGAGGGUUCAUUCAGCUAUCCAAUCAGAAAAAAAAUCCGUCAGAAAAACGUUUAUGUUGUGAUUGAGAUGUCUGACUAGAUUAGGCUACGAAAUUAUAGUUUACCAGUUUACAUAAUUAUUGAAUAGAGACAACAAAACACUCCAAGAACUUCUACAAAAUAACGAAGCUAAUGAAGAAUACAAUAGGUUUGUGGUAAAUGCAAAAGGACCUCAUACACCUGAAAUGUCCAAUAUACACUUUUCUCCUUUCCUUUUUUGCAAGGGGUUCAAGCCUCAUCUGGCCCAUAGAAUGUUCACAUGAAAACAAACAUGUAAACAAAAUUUAAAUGACUAAAAUAUCCUUCUUUUCUUGUAUCAUUUCCACCACUUGGAACUUCAUUAAGCAAGGGGAAGCAUGGAUAUUUGCUGAAUGUAAUUAAUGAUAUAGCCAAUGCUGUACAGUGCUUCACUAAAACACAAUGAAUACAAUGUCAAUGACAUCCUUCCUCGUUUAAGUAAAAAAAUGCUAAACAUGGCCUCAAAAUUGGCUAGCAAAAUGGACUUCAUGCUCAAUUAAUUACAUUCUCUUGCAAUUCUUUGCUGUCUGAUCACUUUCCCAUUUUUUAUAAACGUUUAGAUACUUCAAUUUAAUUUCUUUUUUGCUUAAUACUAGAGUAGGGCUUGAUUUUAUGUAGAAUUUUCAUGUUAUACUGCCAGCGAAUGUAGGAUAUUAUAAAUUUAUUUUUUUACUUUCCAACUGGUAUAGGACAUUUGCAUGAUGGCAUCAUUGACCUCUACUACCAGACUUCCUUGCACACUUUCUUUUGUUCAGUUAAUUAGCACCAAUAUUGUCUUACUAUUCUCAUGAGGGAAUACAAAUUUGAAUAAGAAAGAAAGUUCAUGAACCAUCUUGGUAGAGGAAGUCAAAUGAUGCCAUUAUGCAAACAUCCUAUUGAAAGUAUCAUGUUUUUUUAAUGCUGAUUUGAGGCCUUUAGUUUUAGGGCCCUGAGUAAAAUAUGAUUAUCUUUAAUCCAGAAAAAAUUGGUAUUUUAUGAAUCCAUGAAAAACAAGCUCUGCAAAAUAUAGGCAGCGUACAUACACCAA